AUGGAUAUAACUCAGGGGCACAGUACCUGUCUGGAAAGCACGAGGUCCUGAGUUCGAUUCUCAGUACCCUCC
rnacentral:tRNA from 1 species